GAUGAACGCUAGCGGCAGGCCUAAUACAUGCAAGUCGAGCGGGAUCUGAGGGUAGCUUGCUACCCGAUUUGAGAGUGGCGCACGGGUGCGUAACGCGUGGGCAACCUACCCAUAUCAGGGGGAUAGCCCGGAGAAAUUCGGAUUAAUACCGCAUAAGAAUGUAUUAACACAUGUUAAAGCAUUUAAAUAUUUAUAGGAUAUGGAUGGGCUCGCGUGACAUUAGCUAGUUGGUGAGGUAACGGCUCACCAAGGCGACGAUGUCUAGGGGCUCUGGGAGGAGAGUCCCCCACACUGGUACUGGGACACGGACCAGACUCCUACGGGAGGCAGCAGUAAGGAAUAUUGGUCAAUGGGCGGAAGCCUGAACCAGCCAUGCCGCGUGCAGGACGACUGCCCUAUGGGUUGUAAACUGCUUUUGUCGAGGAAUAAACCUAUCUACGUGUAGCUAGUUGAACGUACUCGAAGAAUAAGGAUCGGCUAACUCCGUGCCAGCCGCCGCGGUAA
rnacentral:rRNA from 1 species